rnacentral:rRNA from 1 species
UACGUAGGCAGCAAACGUUGUUCGGAAUUACUGGGCGUAAAGAGUGUGUAGGCGGUCUUGUUAGUUUGGUGUGAAAUCUCCCGGCUUAACUGGGAGGGUGCGCCGAAUACUGCAAGGCUUGAGUACUGGAGAGGAUAGCGGAAUUCCUGGUGUAGCGGUGAAAUGCGUAGAUAUCAGGAGGAACACCUGUGGUGUAGACAGCUUACUGGACCACUUCUGACGCUGAGACACGAAAGCGUGGGUAGCAAACAGG